rnacentral:tRNA from 1 species
GCCGGCAUGGUGAAAUGGCAUACACGGCAGACUCAAAAUCUGCUGCCCGCGAGGGCGUGAGGGUUCGAGCCCCUCUGCCGGUACUA